rnacentral:rRNA from 1 species
UCGCGGUUAAACGGCUGCAGUACUCUGACUGUGCAAAGGUAGCAUAAUCAUUAGCCUGGUAAUUCCAGGCUGGCAUCAACGGCUGGACGAGGGGGAAACUGUCUCUUCUUAUUUAAUUUUAAAUUAGUUUUAAGGUGAAGAGACCUUAAUACAGCAGUGGGACGAGAAGACCCUAUUGAGCUUUAACCCAUUAAUAAUGGUUAGUAUACUUAUUAAUGGGUUUGGGUUGGGGCAACUCUUCUUCUAAUAAAACAAGGGUUAAACACUUCUAAUUAAAUAAAUAAUCAAAAGACCCAAAAUUAUUUUGGUAAUAAGAAAAAGUUACCUUAGGGAUAACAGCGUAAUUUCUCUUGAGAGUCCACAUUGACAGGGAAGUUUGCGACCUCGAUGUUGGAUCAAGUUUUCCUGGGGGUGCAGCAGCUUCCAAGGGUUGGUUUGUUCAACCAUAAAAAUCUUACGUGAUCUGAGUUCAGA